UGCUGGGGAAUGUCAACACGGCAGGUUUCCCUUCGAUAAGGCAUCGUGUGGAGGUGGCAGAUAGGAUCGUGGGGAUCAGCUGUUGUCUCGCAGGGCCAUUUUCAGGAACUCAAGCCAUGCUGUCCCUAUCUGGACACAGAGAUGUAACAACGCAAGUUAUUUUCAACACAAGGAGUGCCUGUCUGGACACACAUUCGUUUUACAAGAGGGAGUGGAGUUUCCUGCAGAACAUCCCCUCCCUUUAGAAUCCUGCUGUCUGGCUGCCCGGUGUUUAUGUCCAGACUCUCACUCAUCAGUGUCAGGAUGGUCAACAUGAAUCCUUCCCUUGUGUCUGUUCCUCUGUCAGCUAGAGCAGCUCUUCCUUCCUGACCAGUGUUUCAGCUGGUUAAUGGCCAGGGCGAGGGCCAGUGUUUCAGCUGGUUAAUGGCCAGGGCGAGGCUCUAUGUAUUUGACCCCUGUGCUCUCUUUCCUGGACAAGCUGUAUGAAGAGAGGAAGAGGGAGGCCAGAGUGCUGAAGGGGUCCAGGAGGGACCAGACACACACACACACACACACACACACACACACACACACA